GACAGAGGGUGCAAACGUUGUUCGGAAUUACUGGGCGUAAAGCGUGUGUAGGUGGCUGCGUAAGUCGGGUGUGAAAUCUCGGAGCUUAACUCCGAAACUGCAUUCGAUACUGCCGUGCUUGAGGACUGGAGAGGAGACUGGAAUUUACGGUGUAGCGGUGAAAUGCGUAGAUAUCGUAAGGAAGACCAGUGGCGAAGGCGGGUCUCUGGACAGUUCCUGACGCUGAGGCACGAAGGCCAGGGGAGCAAACGGG
rnacentral:rRNA from 1 species